UAAAUUUCCAUAAAAAAAUAUGCAUACUUGGUGGAGAAAGGUUAUCAUGUGGGCAAAAUAGUGCAUAGAGAUAAAUAAUAAAGCGUGAUCAAUUGUCUUUCAGAAAAGAGGCGCGAACUGCUUGGGAGAUGGGAAAAUUUAUAAAGCGUGAUCAAUUCAGUACCAUUUUGAUUGAUUGUUUUAAUCGACGUGCGGUAAUCAGAGGCGCGAACUGCUUGGGAGAUGGGAAAAUUAUCUGUCCCGAGUCCUCGCAUGAGAAUUUGUAAAAGCACGGAAAGCAGAGAGGAAAGUAGCGGACUUACAAGAAACAAAGAAGCUUGAUUCAAAGUUAUUUCACUCCCAGAGUCAAAUCGUUGAGACACUUCAUCAAUGGCGGAGUUACCUAGUUGUCCCUACGUCCUUUCAUUUCAAAGUGAAUUAAAAGUCAAGGUUCUCACAACCAAGUAAAGAGAUGCUUUUGAAGGUAUUUAUCAACAAUCAAGGAGGUAUUACACCUUCCCUUUCCCAUAUUGGCUUUUCUUAAAGUUUUCCACUAUUCUCUUCAUGUCUAUCUGCAAGCUCAGAUAAUGGCAACUUUUAAAAAAUAUCAUUAAUUCGAAUUUGGGGAUGAUUAUUGGAUACCAAUAUGUGUUAAAUACUAAUAUUUUCAACUUUUUAAACCUUUUUUCUUUUUCUAUGUAUUUGUAAAAAUCAUGUCUUAUAUUCAUGUUUGAAUAUGAAUCGAAUAGAAGUAGCGAACACGAAUGCUUUAGAAAAAAACAAAGGUCAUUGGCUACUGGAUCAAGGGAUGAUAUUAUAAUUGUGAUUUUGACAUGUGGGUAUUAGAAUUUCAGCUGAACAAGUUACCUGGUA